rnacentral:sRNA from 1 species
UCAUGCUUGCCGGGAUAGUGUUUGUAUUGAUGUUUGUAAUCUUGUGAAGCAAUUUUUUUCUCAAAAAUUGAAUUUUGUUUCAUAUGAAUGUCAAUGUGGUUUCUUUUAUUCCUAAAUUUCCAAGGACUGACUCUAUUAAAGACUUCAGGUUUAAAAUCAUAUCCAAAAUUCUGGCUGAUAGGUUGGCCUUGAUUGCUAGCAGAAUUGCCUCUUUUACUCAGAAUGGCUUUAUCAAAGGGCAGACAAAAUAAAUAUUGUAUCAGCAUUGCUUCAGAGGCUAUAAAUGCUCAGCAAGAAAGUUCAAGGUGG